GGGGAAUAUUGCACAAUGGGCGCAAGCCUGAUGCAGCGACGCCGCGUGGGGGAUGAAGGCCUUCGGGUUGUAAACUCCUUUCGCUAGGGACGAAGCUUUUUGGUGACGGUACCUAGAUAAGAAGCACCGGCUAACUACGUGCCAGCAGCCGCGGUAAUACGUAGGGUGCGAGCGUUGUCCGGAAUUACUGGGCGUAAAGGGCUCGUAGGUGGUUUGUCGCGUCGUCUGUGAAAUUCUGGGGCUUAACUCCGGGCGUGCAGGCGAUACGGGCAUAACUUGAGUGCUGUAGGGGUAACUGGAAUUCCUGGUGUAGCGGUGAAAUGCGCAGAUAUCAGGAGGAACACCGAUGGCGAAGGCAGGUUACUGGGCAGUUACUGACGCUGUGGAGCGAAAGCAUGGGUAGCGAACAGGAUUAGAUACCCUGGUAGUCCAUGCCGUAAACGGUGGGCGCUAGGUGUGAGGGUCUUUCUACGACUUUCGUGCCGUAGCUAACGCAUUAAGCGCCCCGCCUGGGGAGUACGGCCGCAAGGCUA
rnacentral:rRNA from 1 species